AUUCACCGUUCUCCGCGGGUCCRCGGGGGCGCGCUGCACGCGUGCGGCGCUCGUCCCCGCGGCYCGCGGAGUGCGUGCACUCCUCCCUCAGUAAAACACCGCGACCCGUUGCCGAGUCGAACGCSCCGUGCGGUCGUCCCUUUCUAGAAAGGAACCGCGGSGKCGSGGCUCGAAYGCNACGGUAAAGAACGAGGUUCGCGUCCGCCGGCGUCCGSGGUGCGGCGGCGGCCGUCCUCGCUCCGUCGGCGCGCGUCGGCGGUCGAGGAUAGUCGYGUCUGCUGCAUCAACUCGGACGGGACGCGUCCCGGUCGGCGGUGGUUUGUUUCGGGCACUCACAGGACCCGUCUUG
rnacentral:rRNA from 1 species